rnacentral:ribozyme from 1 species
CCCUGAUGGCGGGGGGAUACCUCAGCGUGGUAUCAGGGCCCAGUACCCACUCUGUGUGGAGAAGCCAAGCAGCCCCC